UGAGACCCAAUGAAAGGGAAGGUAAACCUUUA
rnacentral:piRNA from 1 species